AAGAGCAAUUCCCAUUGAAAUGUCAAUGACAAACUGGGCACUGAUGUGAAACCUGAUACAAAAUGCACAGGGUCUCCCUAGGAGAGUAUGAGGGCUUAAGCCUCUGCUACAGCCGCUGUGAAUAGACUUGGAGAUGUAAAGGAGGGCGAAGCAGAUACCAGAAGCGAUCUUGCAGUGAAGGGCACCAUCUCCAGAAGCAGAACUUGCUGCAAACCAGUAAAGCACAAUCACAAAUCGAAACGAGACCAACAGGAUCCCGUUUUAUGAAUACACCGCAGGGAUACGGCUGAAGGACAGAUGUAGUCAUUUACAGAGACCUUCCUGUAACUGUUUUUAAAGAUAGAGACUGCCACUGUUUGGAAGGUCAGAAGUUUCAUUCUCACCUCUGAAAUGAUGACAGUGGGCAGCUGGUGGAAGACGCUCCAAAAAAUCAUUCAUACCAACGUUAUGUUAGCUUUAUCAGCAGAUUUUGACAGGCACUGACCAGCCUUGCUCUUAAUGCUCCAAACAGCAGAAAUCCCAUCACCACUAUAGACAAUCUAGUCAGGUAGUCAACUAUUUUACCCCUAAAAUAUACUGCCAGGAGUAACCCAAUUCCUUCUCGCUCUAUUUAUGCUCUAUCUACUACUGACACACGGGACAAAUUGCUCCUUUCCCUUUCACACUUAAUUUUAUGCCUCAUGUACUUUAUAAUUAAAACUUCUGUAUGCAUCUCAGUAUCAUACCGUAUGGCUGCACAAAAAGCAAAUGCUCCUAUUCAACCCAUGGUCCAGGAUGACUUACUCAAAAGAACACCAUGUUUUGCCACCUAUAUUGCUUAUUUAGCUUUACUAUUUCAUAGAAUCACGGAAUUGCUCAGGUUGGAAAAGACCUCGGAGAUCAAGUCCAACUGCAACCCAACCUAUUUUGGGCUUGGAACAAGAGUGAAUAAGCCAGCUUAUUCAUUUAGGGCACUAUUUGAUUUGUUGGGAUCACUACGCUACAUCCUUAUUCUGACCUUCAGCAGUCUCCUCAAUGUUCUGAUAUAUGCUACUGUAGUAAGUACUGCCCAUUCUCUCCAGGUCAGGGGGUAAGGGGUAAAUCUAACCAAGGGACAGUCCUAAAAAAAAGAAAUCCACUCUGAUAAAAGAAUAUGAACUAAUUAGUAAACAAUCUCUAUAAAAUGGUUUUCAAAGUACUUCUGCAUCCAGCUUACAGUUGUUUCAGAUAGACCAAGUUUCUCUAACAUGCAAGACAGCUUCAAAAGCUACAGCCUAGAAAACAUCUGCUUUUCUUCUACCUAAGGGCCCAUACCUCUCAUCCAUGGCUUAUUCUCAAAAAAUUCAAGUUGGCUAAUUAUCUUUUACCACUUCCUUCCAGUUGCUCAACAUACUAUCCUCACCUCCUAAAGCUUUCUCUUAGACUGAAGUUGUAUUUCUGGGUUUAUUAUUCCACAUCCCUCUCGCCCUCCAUCUGCAUUUCAAGACAGAUGAGGUACUGGCUGGCUGAAUAUGAAGAAUAUAUUAUCUGUCAUCCAGGAUCUGUCAGGAAGUUAGAAGUUCCAAAACUGUUUCAGUCUGUUUACUAAGGAACACAGAAAGCAUUUACCCUUGAAGUUUUACACUAGAACAUCCCUGUUAGCCACCGAGCACGUACAAUUACCACCACCAAUAAAGGUAUCCUUGUUCCCACCUCAGCAUUGAACUUUGCAUUGAAAACUGAUAGAAAAAGGAAAUUCCUAACGCCAGUCUUUUGCAUUCAUAAGUCAGCAGAUGAUACCACGUUGAUCUGAUUUACUCACAGUUAAACACUAUUUCUUGCAUUCCACAG
ensembl:lncRNA